ACUGCAAAGCGAGACUUCCCAUCCAUUCCACUCCGCAGUGGCGGCGGCGGCGGCGGCGAGGUCUCUACGACUUUCAGAUCUCUCCGAAGAGGGCGGAGGGGAGGGAGAUGUCGUAAUGCUGCCGGAGGGCUGCUGACGAAGAUGCGGAAGCUGGUGAAGGGCCUCGCCAGGCCCGAGCCCAGGUGGCUCAGGGCCAUGGAAGAGGCAGCACCAGUGACAUUUCCUCGCAUGAUGGGAAGAUUAAGGGGUGUUUGUUUGGGAUUAUAAUCUGUCCAGAUUAUAUAGUCCAACAACUUGAACACCCCCUAAGAAGAUCGAGUUUCUGAUGAUGUGUAUGUUAGGAAGCUAAACAAAAAGAACAUCCGGAUUCGCUAUGCCAUGAUGCAAUCAAUGGAUUUGAUCCACCACCAGCACGAGCUUUUGCUUGGCGGUCCUGGAGUUGAAAGAACAAGGAGUCAGUGAAGAUGAUGUGAUGGCUGUAGCAGAUGUAAUUAUUCUCUUCUAUAAUCCUAUUGUUCAUUUUUAUCAAACGCCCUUAAACAGAAAACUCAAUUCUGGGCCUCACUGAGCUGUUUAAGUUUGAACGCUACUGGUUUUAUUGGAUGACUGUUGUAUAACAACCAUCCUUAAUUUGCUCAUAAUCCAAUUGGGUCAACAUUGAAUGGCAGCUUUUUUUGCAGUA